CCUACGGGGGGCAGCAGUGAGGAAUAUUGGUCAAUGGACGAGAGUCUGAACCAGCCAAGUAGCGUGAAGGAUGACUGCCCUAUGGGUUGUAAACUUCUUUUAUAUGGGAAUAAAACGUUCCACGUGUGGGAUUUUGUAUGUACCAUAUGAAUAAGGAUCGGCUAACUCCGUGCCAGCAGCCGCGGUAAUACGGAGGAUCCGAGCGUUAUCCGGAUUUAUUGGGUUUAAAGGGAGCGUAGGUGGAUUGUUAAGUCAGUUGUGAAAGUUUGCGGCUCAACCGUAAAAUUGCGGUUGAAACUGGCAGUCUUGAGUACAGUAGAGGUGGGCGGAAUUCGUGGUGUAGCGGUGAAAUGCUUAGAUAUCACGAAGAACUCCGAUUGCGAAGGCAGUUCACUGGACUGCAACUGACACUGAGGCUCGAAAGUGUGGGUAUCAAACAGGAUUAGAUACCCGAGUAGUC
rnacentral:rRNA from 1 species